UUACAUGUCAUUUUGUUCCAGGGAGCAGGGAGCAGACAGAGGAGUUGAUCAAACUCCGUGGGCAAAACGACCACCUUUUCACCGGCGCCAAAAAUACUGCAGCAGUUGGUUGGAGAACAAUCCUGCAGAAAAUGGGCCUGGAGGGAAAAGUUGAGCCACAACAGGCCAAAAAAAAGUGGGACAACCUAAAA